UCCCGGUUGGCCCGGGCGGUCUCGCAUGAAAAAUUCAACAUACGAUAAGGGUUGCGCUCGUUGCGGGACUUAACCCAACAUCUCACGACACGAGCUGACGACGGCCAUGCAACACCUGUCACCAGGUUCCCGAAGGCACAGCACUGUUUCCAGCGCCUUCCUGGGAUGUCAAGCCUUGGUAAGGUUCUUCGCGUUGCGUCGAAUUAAACCACAUCAUCCUCUGCUUGUGCGGGUCCCCGUCAAUUCCUUUGAGUUUUAAGCUUGCGCUCGUACUCCCCAGGCGGCUUACUUAUCGCGUUAGCUUCACAGCACAGGGGGUCGAUACCCCAUACUAUUAGUAAGCAUCGUUUACGGCGUGGACUAC
rnacentral:misc_RNA from 1 species